AAUCCAACCAUCAGCCUACCACCAGCAUGCCCGCUGACCACAUCUCCAUGGUUCUUGAACAUCUCCAGGGAUGGAGACUCCACCACCUCUCUGGCUGGUAUUCAAUGCUCUCUGCAAGCACUUGACAGUCCUUUGCACUGCUGCCUGUAUCUGCACACUGGAGGCCAACCUGCUGCUUGAAAGAAAAUCACUCUCAGAAUCACAGUGCCAGGGGAGCCUUCUCCUUAGGAACACCCUAUUCAGGAUCCUUCUGCUCCCAGUCUGUGAUAUCCAAUGCACAGGAAUACACACAGAGGAUCUGCCUCUCUUGGGCUCACUGCUCUCCAAUGCAAGCCUGCAGUUGCAGUCUGCAGUUUGGGCUCUGUUGGUAGCACUGCACUGGCUGCUGACCCUUCCAGGAAGUGCUUUCCUCCUGUACCUCCUCCCACCACCUUGCUUGCGAUCCCAAGUGCUGACCUACAGGAUACCGUGAUGAUCCAGCAUCACCUCCACUGGGCCCCCAGCUGCCGGCUAAUGGAGAGGCCCUGCUGCGCCACGUGUUCCUGUAAGCCUUGGGUCAUCCCAUUUCACGGCUUCUCAGAAGGCAUCUGUCAGUGCGUCCGUUUCAUGAAGUACACAGAACGGAGAUUAAGUUGCAUUUCAACCACCCUUUCCUUUCUUACCAAGCACUUUGCGUAGGAGUGGCAGCCCCUUUGUUAACUGAUGGGAAGAUAUGAGUUUGUGCUUCUGGUACAUCCCUAAUGGGGGAACAGUCCUUCCAGAACUCCCAGCAUCUCCUCUCCACUAAGGUGCUCAGCAAUCCUUCAGCUAGAAGAGGUGGAAAGAGAAAAGGACACGUUAAAUAUGCAGAAGCUGCGUCACCUCCCUUGACAGACAACUUUGGAGAUGUUUCCUGUAUGUGGGGCUGCCUAAGAGUCUGCAGACAGUUGGAGCCAGCCCGGAGCUCCCAGAAAUCACGAGGGAAGCCAGGCUGUGCAGCCACCUCCCAGGGAUAUCACAAGUCCCUGCUGGGUGCAUGCAUGGUGCCACGAGGACCUCUGUUUGUGCAGGACCAUUGCUCUGAGAGUGCUUCCCCUGCUGCUAUUGCAGCUCUCUGCAAGACCUCAUAUUUCUCAACCGAUUUCCUUCCAGCCCCACAUUUGCGAGUGCUGAGGGCUGUGGCAAUUGAGUGAUCAAGCACUCUCCCUGCCAGCGUUUUCUACCCGGGCCUCGUGCUGACCCUCAGGGUUAUCAGAAAAGCCUUUCGUCAGACGUCAGCCGGAGCAGAAAUUGGCAUGGAGACAGCGCUGCAAUUCUGUAAGGCGUUGCACUUGUACUGGCAAAGGUGGAGAAUGCAGCCCUGGCAUUUAUGGUGCAUCAGCCCACGCAUGGUCACAGUGCCUGACGACGCAAAGAAGAAUUGCGGCUGUAAAAUUGCCCAUAGCAGCUGAGCAUCCACUUUGCCUUGCCUCAUCCUCAGGAUGCGGGGCGCUCUCUCAAGGAGCAGUUUCUCGCUGGUUUAACAGCCUGCAGGACCGCCCAGCUGCACGUUGCAGAGGAUGCUUGGCUGUGAGAUCCCAGCCCCAUGCCCAAGGGGUGCGUGCACACAAAAAUGGGGCCACCUAAGCCAGAUACGGGCUAGAUGGGAGGGUGGGGGACAGCCCUCCAGAAGAAAGGAAGCCGUAAGUAGAGCUGCCUCCUUGCUUGGUGCCGCCUCCAAGAGCCCCCAGGGCAGUGGCACAGCCUGGCUGCAGCCCCCAGCAGACCCUUGGGGCACAGCCACAGAGGCUGCUGGAAAAUGAAACUUCAGCCCUGCUGGCAGCCACCCAAUUUCAACAAUUUUUUGUUUCGUUCUUGAAAGAAGGCAAAGGGGGAAGCUUUGUUUUCUCCCGGGCUUCUCAGAAAUGCUUAUUUGGGAACGGGGCAUUUUCAAAUGUCAUAUUUGGAUGGAAAAUGCCUUAUCUAGUAAGAAUAGUUAAUCUUCCUCCAGUCUGAGAUGCCUGAAAACAUCCCACUUGGCUCUCCUCCAUGCAGCGGACGGCUGACUCCCAGCCCUGCUGCCACGUGCUCAGUGCAUGGAGGGACAUGGGGAGUACGGGCUGGUUCCUCUAUGCCCAGAAGCACUUGGGAAGGGGCUUUUUCCUGUGCCGUGCUUUGAAAGCGGUGACCAAACCCUGUCAGCGUGUUCCUGAGACUGGGCUGCUGCCCCUCGUAUAACCACAAGUCUCCAUCCAGCCUCAUGCAGCACUGGUACCUGAGUGAGCAGGGAGCCCAAGAGCAACACCUGUGUCUGCUUCCAGGAGGGUCACUGAACUUGGAGGCUUUCAGCUCAAAACCCCCUGGUGGGAUGAGUGACUUGUGAAAGUGGGAUCACGCUGGCUACAAGAAUCCAUGCUGCAGAGCUCAGGACCAUGCAGGCAUCUCACUGUCCAGAAGUUCUGGAUGAAUUCAGUUCCUGACCUUCUCACCUUGGUUUGAAGUGGGAAUUGCUGUAUAGCUUGGUCUCUUACUCUUCUGACCCUCUAUGUUUUAUGUAUCUAGUAAUGUUAUUCCUUAAAAUAAUCUACUCACAGAGUAUGGCAUUUCCUAUAAUCAGAUAAUCUUGAUGGUAUAAAAAAAAUAAAAUGCUAAUAACUAAAACAGCAUCCAAAGAAAGGAUGCCUCAUCCAAAAACAUCUUCAUAAAAGGCAUAUCUUUAAAUCGAGACACCAGUCUAUGUUAUCCACAAAGACCAGUAAUCACAGACCGAAUUGUAAGAGCUUUCUCCAUGUGCGUACUACAAAACUUGGGAGUGAUUUGCCAAACAGAAAAGCAUACAUUGAUCAGGGAAAUAAAAGCUUUGCCACUGAUCCUCUGAGAGGUGAUGGCUAUUAGCAGAAAGAAACUCAACACUGAUCUAGAAAGUGCAAUGUGAAGA
ensembl:lncRNA